AAGGACUGCAGCCCGGGGAAGGGACCCACACUGGAGAAGUUCGUGAAGAACCACUGCCCAUGGGAGGUACCCAUGUUGGAGAACUUCAUGAAAGACUGUCUCUCGUGGAUGAGACCCCACACAGGAGCAGAGGAAGAGUGUGAGGAGGAAGGAGCGGCAGAGACAACGCGUUGUGGACGGUCCUCAACCCCCAUCCCCUAUCCUACUCUGCCAGUCGGAGGGAGAAGGUAGAGAAGUGUGUAAGAUCUUCAGGACACAGGCUCUUCAUGUAUGCAGUGUUGUGUAAACUGUUGUGUUAUAAACCAGAUGCUCAACGGGAGUAAAUCAGCACUGUGUCAUUAAAGUUCAGCUUUGGAUUGCCAAUUAACUGAAGGAUAGCUACUCAUGGUGGUGCCCCACAAAGCUCUCACAUGACCUGGAUGAGAGCUGUGCAAAAGGUACAAAAGUGUAUCACUGGUACAACCAGUUCAAAAAUAUCGAUUACAGAAGAGGCAAGACCAGCAGUGGAACGAGCACUGUGUCACUUCACAUCCUUGGCAGAGAGAUGACUUUUAACACCCUAGUUAGAAUUUAAACACACCAGUAACAGGUCAACAGGAGCUCACAGAGGCUGACUCUGAGUCAAAAUAUUCCUUAUCUGAUGAUACACAAGUAUUUUGCCUGUGUGUGAGACAAGAUCUCCUGGAUCCCAAUAAUGCUUACUUAACAUGGGCUCAGGGCACCCUUCCUAAAAGGGACUAGUAAAAUUACUGAAAUAGUCCCUGAUUUGUAUUGCUGAGAGGACCACAAUGAUUUUCGUGAAAAGUGCCUACACCCCAGGGAGUCCUCAGGGUCACCAGAAUUUAAGUUUUGCAGCACAAAGAAAGACAAAACCUGGUCUGGCUGAGUUUUGGAAGAUGAAUUCGGAUACCUAAAAUGAGAAAGCCAGCUACUACAGAUCCAAGGUAGUUUACGGUUCUUCAACUCAAAAAAAAAAAAAAGAUUGCAAGGAUCUUAUUGCAAACACCUUCUGGAAAUAGUAGCAACUGAGACGGGUGGGUGAUAUAUAUGGUCUGAGAUCUGUUUUCAAUUUUAGGACAUAGUUUUAGGUUCAGACUGCAGACUGGCAGCAGGAGCUCACACUUCUACUUUAUGUAGUGGGAGCUUGAGAUCAUUACAAUACAUAUUGUAAAGCACAGAUAUUUGCAAAUACAUCUACACACAGUAAUUUAUACUGCUUAGGAUUCUUACUGAUAACUUUCAUGAUCCAAUAAUCAUUGACUAGCUCUAGAAGGCCACAUUGGGUUUGAGAACUAUUGGCUCAGUAAAUUGAAGAAAAUUUCCUGUAUCUGUCUCAUGCUCCAUGGAAAGAAGCAGUUUCCAGGGCUCAUGACCUUACACUUUUUCCUUCGAACCCAGUGCAAGUAAAACUUGAAAGUUUCAUGUUCUGUAUUUUCUUCCAGCUUAAAGAUUUAACUUCAAUUAGAAUUAUUUUUAGUCUCUUAGGGAGGAAAGAGAGCACUUUCACAUCAUCUUAAGCACUGCUUAUGAGAGAAAAUAUUUUUAGUUCUGGAAACAAAAUAUACUCUUUUAAUGGAAGAAGUAUGUAUCUCUAAAGUCACAAACUGUCACUCACUGAGGAAAGGAAUACUGGUUUCACAUAUUCAAAAUCACUCACAUAGACGUGAAAA